GUACACGCUGUGACUAGCAUAUCAAUAAGCGGAGGAAAAGAAACUAACAAGGAUUCCCCUAGUAACGGCGAGUGAAGCGGGAAGAGCUCAAAUUUGAAAUCUUAAAGGGUUUCCCUUUACGAAUUGUAGUUUAAAGAAGUGUUUUCUGUUGAGGUUUUGGUAAAAGUUCUUUGGAAUAGGACAUCAUAGAGGGUGAGAAUCCCGUAUUUGACCUUUACUUUCAACUUUGUGAUACACUUUCAAAGAGUCGGAUUGUUUGGGAAUGCAGUCCAAAAUGGGUGGUAAAUUUCAUCUAAAGCUAAAUAUUGGCGAGAGACCGAUAGCGAACAAGUACCGUGAGGGAAAGAUGAAAAGAACUUUGAAAAGAGAGUUAAACAGUACGUGAAAUUGUCAAAAGGGAAGCGUUUGACACCAGUGUUGUUUUUCUGAAAAUCAAUUAAAGAACUGUUUAUGCUAAGUUGUUUAGACUUUAUCAGCUAACUGUUUAGUUUUGAGCUUUUCUUUAAUGCACUUUCCAGUUAACAAGUCAACAUCAAUUUCUUUUGCUGUAAAAAAGCUUGAGGAAGGUGGCUUGAGAUUCGUCUUAAGUGUUUAUAGCCUCUUGCCUAUGCAGUCGGAGAGAUUGAGGUCUGCAGCGUAGAUCCUUCGGGGCUAAAUGCAUUUGUGCUAAGUUAUAACAUUUUAUAGACAACUUGUUGACUAUGAUUUGUCUUGUAGCUUACUCGCUUAUGUUAUUUUACCUACGCUUAGGAUGUUGACAGCAGUAUAGACUGU
rnacentral:rRNA from 1 species